rnacentral:misc_RNA from 1 species
CAAGCUGUCUGCAUAGAUAUCUUGUCUAUGAAAGAAAGACGACAUUCGGUGCCAUGGAAAGGCCUAUAGAGCCUAUAGAAUAGAUAGAAUAGAAUGAAGAAAGGCCGUUGGUUUACGUAGUUACCUAUGGCAAAUAUGCACCCUCCCUCCUGCGAACUACCUUUCAUUCUGAUCGCGACUUUCAAUGCUUUCCAAAAGAGAUGGUCGGGACAACUGUCAGCUAGCUUACCUAGUGGACUUAGUGGGCAG